rnacentral:rRNA from 1 species
CCCUUAGAUGUUCUGGGCCGCACGCGCGCUACACUGAUGCAUUCAACGAGUCUAAAGCCUGCUCUGAUAGGGGUGGGUAAUCUUUUGAAUGUGCAUCGUGAUUGGGAUAGAUGAUUGCAAUUUUUCAUCUUCAACGAGGAAUACCUAGUAAACGCAAGUCAUCAGCUUGCAUUGAUUACGUCCCUGCCCUUUGUACACACCGCCCGUCGCUCCUACCGAUUGAAUGAUCCGAUGAAUAUCAUGGAUUGAGGAUGCAAGCAGGUUCGCCUGUCUUCAUCUUCGAGAAGUGAAGUAAAUCUUAUCAUUUAGAGGAAGGAGAAGUCGUAACA